rnacentral:lncRNA from 1 species
AUGUUCACCUUUUCAGUCCUCUCGUGCUUAGGAGAACCCUUUCUAUCUUUCUCAUUUGCCUUGUCAAUUCUCUUGUGCUUAGGAAAACAUGUUCAUUCGUUCUUUUUUGGCUAAACAUUGUCUAUUGGUUAAUGCCACGUUCUUUUAUUCUCUUUGGCUAACUACCAUAUAUUGGUUAAUGUCACACUUUUUCUAUUCAAGCAAUUUUCUUUGACUUUUG